rnacentral:lncRNA from 1 species
GUUGGGAUUCUUACUGGGCUGGAAAAGCUCAUACUACUCUUACUUUUUUUUCAGAGGCACUGGAUUUGUAGAGUCCAUCGGGUGGGACGAGAAAUGAGAUCAGCAUGGAGUUUGACUGCUAGAUAGAUAGAAGCUAAUUUAUCUUUUGCUUAUGGAUAUUUGAAUUUAUGUAAUCAUUCAGUACAUUUUGGUUGGUUGGUUUAAUUACAUUAAUCAUAGAAUUAUUGAAAU